rnacentral:misc_RNA from 1 species
UGCGGAGGAUCAUUAUCGUACAACCGAGGUGCGGAGGGCUGUCGCUGACUUUUGUCGUGCACGCCCAAAGUGCUCUCAAACAAUAUCCAUCUCACCCAUUUGUGCAUCAUCGCGUGGGUCCUGCUUUUUGGCUUGUCCCAAGGAGGGGGGCUCGCGUUUUCACACAAACACCCUUUUAAUGCAGUGUAGAAUGUUCUUUUGCGAUGACUCGCAAUAAAUACAACUUUCAACAACGGAUCUCUUGGCUCUCGCAUCGAUGAAGAACGCAGCGAAAUGCGAUACGUAAUGUGAAUUGCAGAAUUCAGUGAAUCAUCGAAUCUUUGAACGCACCUUGCGCCCCUUGGCAUUCCGAGGGGCACACCCGUUUGAGUGUCGUGACAUUCUCAAAAAGAACCCUUCUUGGUCUUGCGAUCGGGAAAGGCUUUUUUUUGGACUUUGGAGGUUAUUGCUGGUCCCCCCUUGAUAGCCAGCUCCUCUUAAANGAAUUANUAGGGACCGCUUUGCUGACCCUANACGUGAUAAGAUGUUUCUGCGUCUUGGG